rnacentral:rRNA from 2 species
CGGCAGGCCUAACACAUGCAAGUCGAACGGUAACAGGAAGCAGCUUGCUGCUUUGCUGACGAGUGGCGGACGGGUGAGUAAUGUCUGGGAAACUGCCUGAUGGAGGGGGAUAACUACUGGAAACGGUGGCUAAUACCGCAUAACGUCGCAAGACCAAAGAGGGGGACCUUCGGGCCUCUUGCCAUCAGAUGUGCCCAGAUGGGAUUAGCUUGUUGGUGAGGUAACGGCUCACCAAGGCGACGAUCCCUAGCUGGUCUGAGAGGAUGACCAGCCACACUGGAACUGAGACACGGUCCAGACUCCUACGGGAGGCAGCAGUGGGGAAUAUUGCACAAUGGGCGCAAGCCUGAUGCAGCCAUGCCGCGUGUAUGAAGAAGGCCUUCGGGUUGUAAAGUACUUUCAGCGGGGAGGAAGGUGUUGUGGUUAAUAACCGCAGCAAUUGACGUUACCCGCAGAAGAAGCACCGGCUAACUCCGUGCCAGCAGCCGCGGUAAUACGGAGGGUGCAAGCGUUAAUCGGAAUUACUGGGCGUAAAGCGCACGCAGGCGGUCUGUCAAGUCGGAUGUGAAAUCCCCGGGCUCAACCUGGGAACUGCAUUCGAAACUGGCAGGCUUGAGUCUUGUAGAGGGGGGUAGAAUUCCAGGUGUAGCGGUGAAAUGCGUAGAGAUCUGGAGGAAUACCGGUGGCGAAGGCGGCCCCCUGGACAAAGACUGACGCUCAGGUGCGAAAGCGUGGGGAGCAAACAGGAUUAGAUACCCUGGUAGUCCACGCCGUAAACGAUGUCUACUUGGAGGUUGUGCCCUUGAGGCGUGGCUUCCGGAGCUAACGCGUUAAGUAGACCGCCUGGGGAGUACGGCCGCAAGGUUAAAACUCAAAUGAAUUGACGGGGGCCCGCACAAGCGGUGGAGCAUGUGGUUUAAUUCGAUGCAACGCGAAGAACCUUACCUGGUCUUGACAUCCACAGAAGAAUCCAGAGAUGGAUUUGUGCCUUCGGGAACUGUGAGACAGGUGCUGCAUGGCUGUCGUCAGCUCGUGUUGUGAAAUGUUGGGUUAAGUCCCGCAACGAGCGCAACCCUUAUCCUUUGUUGCCAGCGGUUAGGCCGGGAACUCAAAGGAGACUGCCAGUGAUAAACUGGAGGAAGGUGGGGAUGACGUCAAGUCAUCAUGGCCCUUACGACCAGGGCUACACACGUGCUACAAUGGCGCAUACAAAGAGAAGCGACCUCGCGAGAGCAAGCGGACCUCAUAAAGUGCGUCGUAGUCCGGAUUGGAGUCUGCAACUCGACUCCAUGAAGUCGGAAUCGCUAGUAAUCGUGGAUCAGAAUGCCACGGUGAAUACGUUCCCGGGCCUUGUACACACCGCCCGUCACACCAUGGGAGUGGGUUGCAAAAGAAGUAGGUAGCUUAACCUUCGGGAGGGCGCUUACCACUUUGUGAUUCAUGACUGGGGUGAAGUCGUAACAAGGUAACCGUAGGGGAACCUGCGGUUGGA